AGCCUGAACUUUCUCAUCUAACACCUGUUCAAGUCGGAGGAUGCUGAUUAAUUCAUGAUGGAAAGGUAUCAAUUUCACAGCCCAGACUUCUACAUUCUUGAAAUGCUGUUCUCAUGGGAGACAUUAAAUAAGCUUUGAAAUAACUUAAGCCCUUAAGUAAAGGUGCCAUCAAAUGAUUUCUCAGAAAUUAUAAAGAAACAAAAGGACCAUAAACAAGAUAAGGUGGCACGAGGAAACACUAAAAGUACCUUUCAGAGCUGACUGGCAAAGAAACUCCUGAGGUGAUGGGGACUUAUCUUCCUCAGUUCCCUGUGGGGAACUUUUGUAGAGCCACACGAAAGGAGGUUUUUAGCUCUCACCUAUGGUCUUCAUCAUGCACCUCCUAGAUUCAAAAGUUCAGCAGGGGCAUGUCAAGCUAUAUAAAUAAAAACAAACUAAGACAAAAAUGUAACAUUCCAUACCUUAAAAUGCAACCUUAAUAACGUGAAAGACCCUGAAGGACUUGAGAUGUGAAGAUUUUCUACCACGGUCUUUGCAUGUAUUAUUUCUGACAGCUGUUCCUUUCUAUUCCCUCUUGCACACAUCUUUAGUUACUCCCUGUUCUCCAUCCCUCUGAUAAAAUCUAGUUCCCCCCUCAAAUUAGAAAAUUAAAAAAAAUAAAAAAUCUAAAAUUAAAA
rnacentral:antisense_RNA from 1 species